AUGCAUCUUCUUGAAAGAAACACUGGAUCAUUUUGGUACCAUUUUCUAAACACAGUUCUUUCUUAUUUACCACAGCCUGGCAGGACACAAACGGAGCAAGCGAAAGUGACUGCUGCAGUGCGGUGCUUCUGGCUGUGCAGCAUCUGUGUGUGUCUCCUGCUUGCGAUGUGUGCCAGUGGUUCCACUACGCCCGCACUUUCGGCCUUGGAAGUGCGCCUGGUCACCCGCCAGCAGGCAUCACCACCACAGAGCUGACGGUGCCAAAUUCCUGCAAGGCCU
rnacentral:lncRNA from 1 species